GCAGGUUAUUUCGAAUUGACUACUUGUUUGCAUAUGUAAACAUUACGUUUAACUACGUAUUAAAUAUUGUAUAACUUAUAAAAUUGGUUCAAAAUCCCACAUUUUUGCAGUGUCGUUAAAUGCUCAAUGCUUGCAGAACGCGAUACGGUUUAUUUUUUUCGAUUUUAGCGAGACAUAGAAGAGACAGAUCAUUUGAAUGCUUUGUUUAGUGAACGUCGAAAUGCUUGUGUUAAGGCUUUAAAACGCGUGCCUCUAAGUGAAAUCUAUAUGCGAAAUGAUCAUAUUUGCUUAGGACAUUUCAUAACAGGAAAGUAUUUGUACAAAAAGUGAAAAAAGGAUUUUAAAAAGAGCCAGAAUGAAGCCAGAGGUACGAGCUGAAGUUGUUUCAGCAUAGUACUCAAGAAUUUGAUAAUGUUUCAGAAUUUAUUGAAGGAAUUUGAGCAAAGCAGAUUUACGGAGGCUGCUGCAUUAGUGAGUCAAUUCAAACUGAUGUACCUCACUGAAGAAUAUUCAAGUCGUGUUUUGCAGAAUUUAGAUUUUUGCAAUUCAAUAAUGUACAUCUUGCAAGCAAAAGUUCAAGUUAUGGAUAUAAAUGAGAAUUAUGUUAAAAAUAAAUGUUUCAUCCCUAA